UACGAAGGUGGCAAGCGUUGUUCGGAAUUAUUGGGCGUAAAGGGCGCGUAGGCGGACUUGUAAGUCGAUUGUGAAAUCCCUGGGCUUAACCCGGGAACUGCAGUCGAAACUGCAUGUCUUGAAUGCUCGAGAGGAUGGUAGAAUUCCUGGUGUAGAGGUGAAAUUCGUAGAUAUCAGGAGGAAUACCGGAGGCGAAAGCGGCCAUCUGGCGAGACAUUGACGCUGAGGCGCGAAAGCGUGGGGAUCAAACAGG
rnacentral:rRNA from 1 species